UACGAAGGGGGCUAGCGUUGUUCGGAAUUACUGGGCGUAAAGCGCGCGCAGGCGGUCCUUUAAGUCAGGGGUGAAAGCCCAGAGCUCAACUCUGGAACUGCCUUUGAAACUAGAGGACUUGGGUACGGGAGAGGUGAGUGGAAUUCCGAGUGUAGAGGUGAAAUUCGUAGAUAUUCGGAAGAACACCAGUGGCGAAGGCGGCUCACUGGCCCGUUACCGACGCUCAGGCGCGA
rnacentral:rRNA from 1 species